CUUUGCCUUUGGAUCAGCUCCAGGUACUUUUUUGGACAUCCCUGAACCACUCAUCUUUCAGAAGUGCAAAGAGAUGUCUACUGUGACCUAUUUUGGUGAAUGAACUUCAAAUUCAAAUGGAUGUUGGCUAGGACAAUUACAACAUGAUUAAUUAAUACAAUUUAUCACUUUGUUAAUUACUAGUUUGCAGCCUGAUCCAGGAAUUCUUUGUGCAGUUCUGUUAAUACAAUCGCAUGUGAGACCUUGAGGCCAAAACUUUUCAGGGAUAUCCAUCUGUAUACUUUCAUACAUAAGUGGUAUUACUGAAGUCAGUGGGACCUGUUAGAAGUAUAAAGCUGCACAUGGAAACGGUUGCAGAAGUGAAGCCUUUAUUUGCCUUUGUUAUCAAUUGCUUAGUGUAAUUUCAUGUACAUAUUCUGUGUAUUCUUAUAUGUAUAUAUUUACAUGUGCACCUCAGCUGAACAGUCUUCUAGUAAUUCUAAUGUUCAACUUUGAUGUGCUUUAUGCUCAAGAAAUCAAGGUUGAUUAUUUUAUUUUAUUUUAUUUUAUUUUUAUAUUGCCUAAAUAAUACUAUUUGUACUUUGUCAUUUAGUUUAGGGUAAUGUCCAUAGUAAUGUAUUUUUUGCAGUUCUCAUUGGCUUUGGGGAGUUCACUGGCUGAGGAAGGACAAUUCUGAUUGAGAUAAAUUCUUCCUGACACUCAGACCUACCCUUUGACGUAUAUCCUCUAUUUCUGCUUUCUUUUACACACGCUCUUCCUUUUGUUCAUGAC
rnacentral:lncRNA from 1 species